AUGGCGACUCCAUCCCCUGACGGUCCAGCUGAUUUGGAGACGGUUCGGAGCCGCUCAGGUAGACCUGUUUGCUUCUCCAGAGACCGCUCACUGCCAGUUGUUCUACUCCCUGACCGAGGGAACUCUCGGCAGGGAUGCACUGGCACACAGCUGGCCGCGGGGCCUACGCAAGUAUGCGUUUCCCCCAGUGAGCCUUCUUGCACAGACACUGUGCAAAGUCCGGGAGGACGAGGAGCAAGUCUUGCUAGUGGCGCCGUAUUGGCCCACGCGGACCUGGUUCCCCGAACUGGUGCUCCUCGCGACAGCCCCUCCUUGGCCGAUUCCUCUGAGGAAGGAUCUACUGACUCAGAGACGGGGCACCAUUUGGCACCCGCGUCCAGACCUUUGGAAACUCCAUGUCUGGUCCCUGGACGGGACGCGGAGGUUCUAGGUGACCUGCCCCAGGAGGUAGUGAACACCAUCACUUCGGCAAGAGCACCGUCUACGAGACACGCUUACGCCUUGAAGUGGAACCUGUUCGUCGAGUGGUGUUCUUCUCGCCGAGAAGACCCCCGAAGAUGCCCGAUUGCGGUUGUGCUUUCCUUUCUGCAGCAAGGGCUGGAGCGAAGGCUGUCUCCCUCCACCCUCAAAGUCCAGGUUGCCGCUAUUGCUGCGUACCAUGACCCCGUGAAUGGGAAGUCUUUAGGUAAGCAUGACCUCGUCAUCAGGUUCCUUAGAGGGGCCAGGAGGUUAAAUCCUUCCCGGCCCCCCUCCAUACCCUCUUGGGACCUGACUCUGGUGCUGAAAUCACUACAGCAGGGCCCAUUCGAGCCUUUGCAUUCAGUCGAGCCAAAGUUUCUUUCAUUGAAAACUCUGCUCCUGCUUGCACUGGCCUCCAUCAAGAGGGUAGGGGACCUGCAUGCAUUUUCGGUCGACGAUUCGUGCCUAGAGUUUGGGCCGGCUGACUCCCAGGUAAUCCUGAGGCCCCGGCCCGGCUACGUGCCCAAGGUUCCCACUACACCCUUCAAAGACCAAGUGGUGAACCUGCAAGCGCUGCCCCUGGAGGAGGCAGACCCAGCCCUAGCUUUGCUCUGUCCCGUCCGAGCAUUGAGAUGCUACGUAGACCGGACACAAAGCUUCAGGACCUCAGACCAGCUCUUUGUCUGUUACGGAGGCCGGCAGAAGGGGAAUGCCGUCUCUAAGCAGAGGAUGGCCCGCUGGAUUGUGGAUGCCAUAGCCCUGGCUUAUCAGGCACAGGGUGUGCCCUGCCCGUUCAGGUUGCGAGCUCACUCAACAAGAAGUGUUGCAUCCUCCUGGGCGCUGGCUCGUGGCGCCUCGCUGACAGAUAUUUGUAGAGCUGCGGGCUGGGCGACCCCUAACACGUUCGCUAGGUUCUAUAGCCUUCGUGUAGAGCCGGUAUCCUCCUGUGUUCUCACCUCAAACGGGUAG
rnacentral:lncRNA from 12 species